rnacentral:rRNA from 1 species
AGAGUUUGAUCAGUGGCGUCAGGACGACGCUGGCGGCGUGCUUAACACAUGCAAGUCGAACGGUGACCCAGGGCUUGCCCUGGUGAUCAGUGGCGAACGGGUGAGUAACACGUGGGCAACCUGCCCCUGACUUCGGGAUAACUCCUCGAAAGAGGAGCUAAUACCGGAUACGACCACUUCGGACAUCCGAUGGUGGUGGAAAGUUUUUCGGUCAGGGAUGGGCCCGCGGCCUAUCAGCUAGUUGGUGGGGUAAUGGCCUACCAAGGCGACGACGGGUAGCCGGCCUGAGAGGGCGACCGGCCACACUGGGACUGAGACACGGCCCAGACUCCUACGGGAGGCAGCAGUGGGGAAUAUUGCGCAAUGGGCGAAAGCCUGACGCAGCGACGCCGCGUGAGGGAUGAAGGCCUUCGGGUUGUAAACCUCUUUCAGCAGGGACGAAGCGAAAGUGACGGUACCUGCAGAAGAAGCACCGGCUAACUACGUG